UCCUGGCUCAGGACGAACGCUGGCGGCGUGCCUAUACAUGCAAGUCGAGCGAACAGAUGAGGAGCUUGCUCCUCUGACGUUAGCGGCGGAUGGGUGAGUAACACGUGGGCAACCUGCCCUGUAGUUGGGGAUAACUCCGGGAAACCGGGGCUAAUACCGAAUAAUUAGUUUCUUCGCAUGAGGAAACUCUGAAAGACGGCUUCGGCUGUCACUACGGGAUGGGCCCGCGGCGCAUUAGCUAGUUGGUGGGGUAAUGGCCUACCAAGGCGACGAUGCGUAGCCGACCUGAGAGGGUGAUCGGCCACACUGGGACUGAGACACGGCCCAGACUCCUACGGGAGGCAGCAGUAGGGAAUCUCCCACAAUGGACGAAAGUCUGAUGGAGCAACGCCGCGUGAGCGAAGAAGGUUUUCGGAUCGUAAAGCUCUGUUGUGAGGGAAGAACAAGUACAGGAGUAACUGUCUGUACCUUGACGGUACCUCACUAGAAAGCCACGGCUAACUACGUG
rnacentral:rRNA from 1 species